UACGUAGGGUGCAGGCGUUAAUCGGAAUUACUGGGCGUAAAGCGUGCGCAGGCGGUCUGUAAAGUCAGAUGUGAAAGCCCCGGGCUCAACCUGGGAAUUGCAUUUGAAACUGGCAGGCUAGAGUGUGGCAGAGGGGGGUGGAAUUCCACGUGUAGCAGUGAAAUGCGUAGAGAUGUGGAGGAACACCGAUGGCGAAGGCAGCCCCCUGGGCCAACACUGACGCUCAGGCACGAAAGCGUGGGGAGCAAACAGG
rnacentral:rRNA from 1 species